rnacentral:lncRNA from 1 species
AUAAAGUUCAUGCUUAGUUUAAUUUAGUUUAAAGUUCGUGUGGAUCCUUGCCUAUAAAAGGAUCAUUUGUGUGUUGUGAAAGGCAUUCGAGUUUUCAGUCUUAAAACUUGGAAUUCUUGAUUGUCAUCCUUUGUAAGUAUUUUCAUAAAUAAAAGCAAGUCUUUUAAUAUUUUCAACAUGUCUUCCAUGUCUUCCGCAUAUUAUUUUACUCUUAUAAUUUAUUUUACUAAUAUAUCCACCAUUAUGAUUAUCAAUAUUAGUAUUAGUAUUAGUAUUAUUUUUAUUUUUAUUUUU